rnacentral:lncRNA from 1 species
UUGUGAAAAGGCUGUAGGAAUGCAGCCCCAGCUAUCAACUGGAAUCAACACUCGCAUUUCAAGGCAGGAGAGAAAGAAGUGAAAGAAAUGGAACAAAGAGAAUCCAAAGUCAGAGACACAGAGCAGUUUCCUGAGUAGAGCUCCCCUGGGAUUCUGGAGCCAUCAUCCUGACACACCAGGUGACCCCUUGCAUUCAAAGCCAAGCCUCUCACCUGUCCUCUUUGAAGCCUGGACCAGGAAGAAUGAAGAACAGGACAAAGCUUGCAGAACAAAAUUAUGUGAGAACAGCGGGUCGAUGCCAUUGAAAACUGCGGAUGCACUGAUGCCCAGAGCCACCCACAUGUCCUGAAACCUGAUGCAUAGAGCAAAAGAAAGUAAGUGGCCAGUUGAUCCUGAAGAAAGGAGGCCAGAAAAGUGAAUGUAAUACCACAGCAUUUGUUUUUCCAAACACAGAUUAUAUUUGUGAAAUAAUGCUGAACACAUUCUGUAAAAAGAGUAAUCUCAGCAAUCAGAUGGCAUAACUCUGUAAUGAAACCCUGUGCUCUUUAGGAACUGGGAAUGAUACAAAAAAUGCUGGUAUGACAAUCCAUGGUAUCUCAGACCAAUGAAAGACUAGGUCUGUAGGAUGCAAACCAAGGGCAUGGUUUUAGAAUGGCUCUUACACUGACAUUACACCUAGCUUCACAGUUGCUAAAUGUUCUCAUUUAUUGUGGAAGCAAGGGGAAAGCAUAGGACUUCACAGUGUUCAGUGUGUGACAUAACUGGUUAUGCAC